GCGCCCAUAGCCCAAUUGGAUAGAGCGUCUGGCUACGGACCAGAAGGUUGGGGGUUCGAGUCCUCCUGGGCGUACAA
rnacentral:tRNA from 1 species